UUUUAAGGGCUUUUUCCACCCUGUUUCAGGGCUGUAUAUGAACGUCUAGUGGUGUGGGAAGUCACUCUUCAUGCUGUAACUGGGCCCUGCUGCACCAUAUCUGUUUCUCGCCCUUUCUCUUCUGUAUGCUUGUACUUCCACCAAAGAGGUGUUUUCCCGUGCUGCCAGCAGGCUCGCCACCCAGCUCACCAUGCCUUGCAGGCUGCUCGAGAGCACGUUUGCACCGCUCUGGAGUGAGUGAGGGAUCCCUCUGUGCCCACAGCCCCUGCUGCUGAUUUGGCUGAGAUGUUUGUCCAGACUUCACAGGCCAGGAGCAGGCUCACAUCACCAAAGUGGCUGGAAUUAAACUCCACAUUCUUAAGGAAAGGGCUGGUUUUUCACUGCAAGGAUCGCACAUCUGGGAACAUCUGGAAUUCAAGCAGUGUCGCUGCAUCUGACUGGGCCCUCUCAGACUCCUGCAACGCAAAGCACGUGGGAGAGGCUCACAUCACCUCAUUAUCAGCCUGUCAGUGCCUAAUUGAACAGAUGCAGUGCUGCGCGUGUGUGCAGCAUUACUUAUACAUUCACCUAAUAUAUAUACAUAUCAGAGGUGCUUGAUGGGCCUUUUAUUACAACGCCGGAAUAUAGCACCGUUGCUAAAGCUGUCAGGGCUUAUAUCGCUUGAAAAAUAAUUGUCCAGUCCCUGGUUAGUGCUUAACACAACAGUUUUCCUAGGCCAUAAUAUAAAGCAUGACAGUGAUGUACUGCUACUGUACCUUGUAACUGAAUUCCAGGGCCCACGUUUCUCGGGUUUUACCAGGGACGUUCACGUCGAGAUUGCAAAUAGCCAUGCAAACCCCGCUGCCAGAGCUCCCUGGUGAAGGAGGCGAUGCCGAUCACAUCUGCCUAAAUGCUCCGAUCCCACACCAGUCGCACCGAUGGAAAUAUUGCAGCGGGCAUUGAGUUUGCUGCAUGGGGCACUGAGCACCCAGGGGCAGCCGGGGGCAGUUCUGGGUCUGGGCUGCUCUGGAGCCCAGAUCUGACACAUGGAGGCUUGCAAGGUAAGUGGGAACCAACGGGGAUUGACAGCAAACUUGUAUGAAGUUUUUCUAAACUGUGCAUGCUUGUUUUUAAUUCUGGCUUCCUUUACAGAUGUUCUUAUAAACAGAAAACAGCUUGUUAACAGUAGCAAAAUGGAAAUUUCCUCUGUGCGAUAUAAAUUUCAGUGAUAUACAUGAAUAUAAAACAGUGUAAAACUACACUCUUCUUUGCAAAAACGAAUGUGCCUUUACAUUACACGGGAAAAACUAAUACAUUACAGUCAUUAGGAAAUAUAUAACGUUGACAUUAAUUGAAGUGAAAUGAGGGUGUGCUUGAACUAAUAGAACUGAGGGAAAACAGGUGAAUUGUAUUUUGUAACUGAUGGAGCUACUCUGUACGAGAAUAAUUUCUGUG